rnacentral:rRNA from 1 species
UUCGCCCUUCGGAGAGGGCGCAUGAGAGAUGGCUACCACAUCCAAGGAAGGCACCUUGCGCGUAAAUUACCCAAUCUUGAAACAAGGAGGUAGUGGCAAUAAAUAACAAUGCUGGGUCUUUGUAGGUCUGGCAGUUGGAAUGAGAACAAUUUAAACCUCUUAUUGAGGAUCAAUUGGAGGGCAAGUCUGGUGCCAGCAGCCGCGGUAAUUCCAGCUCCAAUAGCGUAUAUUAAAGUUGUUGCAGUUAAAAAGCUCGUAGUUGGACUUGUGGAUGUUCUCAAGGUCCACUUGUUGGUACUGUUGAGUUUGUCCAUCCUUGAGUGGAAUCUGCGUGGCAUUAGGUUGUUGUGCAGUGGAUACUCAUCAUUUACUGUGAAAAAAAUAGAGUGUUUAAAGCAAGCUUAUGCUGCUGAAUAUAUUAGCAUGGAAUAAUGAUAUAGGACUUUGGUGCUAUUUUUUUGGUUUGAGUGUCAAGGUAAUGAUUAAUAGAGAUAGUUGGGGGUAUUUGUAUUCCACUGUCAGAGGUGAAAUUCUUGGAUUUUUGGAAGACGAACUACUGCGAAAGCAUUUACCAAGGAUGUUUUUAUUAAUCAAGAACGAAAGUUAGGGGAUCGAAGAUGAUUAGAUGCCAUCGUAGUCUUAACCAUAAACUAUGCCA